rnacentral:lncRNA from 1 species
UCAGAAUCUUCCUCCUCCUCCUUUUCUUCUUCCUUUUCUUCAACAUCUUCAUAGUCAUCAUCUUCAUCAUCCUCCUCCAUAGCUGGAGUUUCAGUUGCUCUAACUCCACUAGCUUAUGCCUGAUCAUCUAGCCAUCCCACCACAGUGUUAAACUCGUCCAUCGUCCACUGCCGUCUCGGGGGUGUAUCAUAUAUCCUAUGAUCAUCUCUGCA